GUGGGGAAUUUUGGACAAUGGGCGAAAGCCUGAUCCAGCCAUGCCGCGUGCAGGAUGAAGGCCUUCGGGUUGUAAACUGCUUUUGUACGGAACGAAAAGACUCCUUCUAAUAAAGGGGGUCCAUGACGGUACCGUAAGAAUAAGCACCGGCUAACUACGUGCCAGCAGCCGCGGUAAUACGUAGGGUGCAAGCGUUAAUCGGAAUUACUGGGCGUAAAGCGUGCGCAGGCGGUUAUAUAAGACAGAUGUGAAAUACCCGGGCUCAACCUGGGAACUGCAUGUGUGACUGUAUAGCUAGAGUACGGUAGAGGGGGAUGGAAUUCCGCGUGUAGCAGUGAAAUGCGUAGAUAUGCGGAGGAACACCGAUGGCGAAGGCAAUCCCCUGGACCUGUACUGACGCUCAUGCACGAAAGCGUGGGGAGCAAACAGGAUUAGAAACCCCGGUAGUCC
rnacentral:rRNA from 1 species